CAAAUUACCUGGCAGGGGAGAUACCAUGAUCACGAAGGUGGUUUUCCCAGGGCGAGGCUUAUCCAUUGCACUCCAGAUCUGCUGACCCCUGCGAUUUCCCCAAACGUGGGAAACUCGACUGCAUGAUUUGUGGUAGUGGGGGACUGCAUUCACACCCUCCCC
rnacentral:snRNA from 1 species